UGGGGAAUAUUGGACAAUGGGCGAAAGCCUGAUCCAGCCAUGCCGCGUGUGUGAAGAAGGUCUUCGGAUUGUAAAGCACUUUAAGUUGGGAGGAAGGGCAGUAAGCGAAUACCUUGCUGUUUUGACGUUACCGACAGAAUAAGCACCGGCUAACUCUGUGCCAGCAGCCGCGGUAAUACAGAGGGUGCAAGCGUUAAUCGGAAUUACUGGGCGUAAAGCGCGCGUAGGUGGUUCGUUAAGUUGAAUGUGAAAGCCCCGGGCUCAACCUGGGAACUGCAUCCAAAACUGGCGAGCUAGAGUAGGGCAGAGGGUGGUGGAAUUUCCUGUGUAGCGAUGAAAUGCGUAGAUAUAGGAAGGAACACCAGUGGCGAAGGCGACCACCUGGGCUCAUACUGACACUGAGGUGCGAAAGCGUGGGGAGCAAACAG
rnacentral:rRNA from 1 species